rnacentral:rRNA from 1 species
AGUGAACGCUGGCGGUAGGCCUAACACAUGCAAGUCGAACGGCAGCACAGUAAGAGCUUGCUCUUACGGGUGGCGAGUGGCGGACGGGUGAGGAAUACAUCGGAAUCUACUUUUUCGUGGGGGAUAACGUAGGGAAACUUACGCUAAUACCGCAUACGACCUACGGGUGAAAGCAGGGGAUCUUCGGACCUUGCGCGAUUGAAUGAGCCGAUGUCGGAUUAGCUAGUUGGCGGGGUAAAGGCCCACCAAGGCGACGAUCCGUAGCUGGUCUGAGAGGAUGAUCAGCCACACUGGAACUGAGACACGGUCCAGACUCCUACGGGAGGCAGCAGUGGGGAAUAUUGGACAAUGGGCGCAAGCCUGAUCCAGCCAUACCGCGUGGGUGAAGAAGGCCUUAGGGUUGUAAGCCCUUUUGUUGGGAAAGAAAAGCAGCAGGUUAAUACCCCGCUGUUCUGACGGUACCCAAAGAAUAAGCACCGGCUAACUUCGUG